GAUACGAAUAAAAUAUCAAAAUUUCACAUUUUUUCGUGACUGCCUGAAAAAUAUCAAAAAUUUUAAUUCGUAAACGUCCGAAAAACAUGAAAAUCAAGAAAAAGACAAAAAAACACGUCAAAAUUUUCUGAAUCACCCAGUCACCAUAGAAUAUCGAUACUAAUAAAAUAUCAAAAUUUCACAUUUUUUCAUGAAUGCCCGAAAAAUAUCAAAAAUAUUAAUACAUAAACAUUUGAAAGAUAUUAAAAUCAAGAAAAACCAUAAAAA
rnacentral:lncRNA from 1 species